GUGUUAUACAUGUGUGUGUGUGAAAUAAAAUUCUCCUUGUUAUUAUGCAAAGGAAUAAGAUCUAUAGACACCAAGGCAUCACAACCCAUAUGCAAAAGCAGUGAAUCAUUUGCAUAAUACAGAAAAUCAACAAAAUUUAUGGCUUCUUCUCAACACAUACAUACCCAUAGACAAAAGCAGCAAAUCAAGCUUCUUGUUCUCAAUGUCAUCUUAUACACCACAAAUCAACUUCUACUUAGCACAUUCUCACAACUAAAUGGGCAAACUCUCAAAUCUUUCAUCCUGUAUGUAAAAGUGAAGCAGUUGGUUAAUCUUGUAUCACUUUUGCAAAAGUUCUACUGCUAAA
rnacentral:misc_RNA from 1 species